rnacentral:rRNA from 1 species
CAGAAACUCAAAUGAAUUGACGGGGCCGCCACAAGCGGUGGAGUAUGUGGUUUAAUUCGAUGCAACGCGAAGAACCUUACCUGGUCUUGACAUCCCGGAGACCCUUAGGAAACUAGGGGGUGCCUUUCCAUCUGGAAGAAUCUGGAGACAGAUGCUGCAUGGCUGUCGUCAGCUCGUGUCGUGAGAUGUUGGGUUAAGUCCCCGCAACGAGCGCAACCCUUGCCUUUAGUUGCCAGCAGUUCGGCUGGGCACUCUAAAGGGACUGCCGGUGUUAAACCGGAGGAAGGUGGGGAUGACGUCAAGUCCUCAUGGCCUUUAUGACCAGGGCUACACACGUACUACAAUGGCCGAUACAAAGGGCAGCGACACUGCGAGGUGAAGCCAAUCCCGUAAAAUCGGUCUCAGUCCGGAUUGGAGUCUGCAACUCGACUCCAUGAAGUUGGAAUCGCUAGUAAUCGUGGAUCAGAAUGUCACGGUGAAUACGUUCCCGGGCCUU